AUGGACGGCCUCCACACGGAGCUGGCGCUGGGGCUGAUCGGGUGCGGCCAUGGCGACCUCCAGACGGCGCCGUUCGUGGCCAAGACGUACCAGAUGGUGUGCGACCCUAGGACGGACGCGCUCGUCAGGUGGGGGAAGGGCAACAACAGCUUCCUCGUCACCGACGUCGCCGGCUUCUCGCAGCUCCUCCUCCCCUGCUUCUUCAAGCACGGCAACUUCUCCAGCUUCGUCCGCCAGCUCAACACAUAUGGCUUCCGGAAGGUGCACCCGGACCGAUGGGAGUUCGCGCACGAGUCGUUCCUCCGCGGGCAGACGCACCUGCUGCCGCGCAUCGUGCGCCGCAAGAAGCGCGGCGAGGCCGGUGUUGGCGCCUCCUGCUCGUCUGUUGUCGGCGGUGGUGAGCAGCAUCAGCACGUGGUGGCCAACAUGGGAGACGAAGUGGAGGAGGAAGAGGAUGAGGAGGGAAGGGAGGCGCUGCUCGAGGAGGUUCAGAGGCUGCGGCAGGAGCAGACGGCCAUCGGGGAGCAGCUGGCGAAGAUGAGCCGGCGACUGCAGGCGACAGAGCGGCGGCCUGACCGGCUCAUGUCCUUCCUCUCCAAGCUCGCCGAGGAUCCCAACGCCACCUCCCUCCACCUUCUAGAACAAGCAGUCGAGAAGAAGCGCCAGCGCAUGCAGUGCCCUUCCCGUGAUUUUACUUCCUUUCCCAUCGCACUUCCUCUUCAGCCCGCACCUUCACCGCCGCCGCCACCGCUAUUGGCGCUCGGCGACGCGGCCAUGGGCGGGGUCAGAGUCUGGCAAUGGGCGGAGCCGAUGCCACUGACGGUGCGGCCCUCCGCGAGCUCCGGGGUGCAGCAGGUGCCGGAGUUCGAGGGCGGCCGGAGCGGCAGCGGCAUGGGCAUAACUGACGGUGGGACCGCGGUGGAGACCCCCUUCCCGUUCUGCCUACUGGGCCAGUGUUUCUUCUAA
rnacentral:rRNA from 1 species